rnacentral:rRNA from 1 species
GCCUUGCUGAAUUAUUCACCCUUGUCUUUUGCGUACUUCUUGUUUCCUUGGUGGGUUCGCCCACCACUAGGACAAACAUAAACCUUUUGUAAUUGCAAUCAGCGUCAGUAACAAAUUAAUAAUUACAACUUUCAACAACGGAUCUCUUGGUUCUGGCAUCGAUGAAGAACGCAGCGAAAUGCGAUAAGUAGUGUGAAUUGCAGAAUUCAGUGAAUCAUCGAAUCUUUGAACGCACAUUGCGCCCUUUGGUAUUCCAAAGGGCAUGCCUGUUCGAGCGUCAUUUGUACCCUCAAGCUUUGCUUGGUGUUGGGCGUCUUGUCUCUAGCUUUGCUGGAGACUCGCCUUAAAGUAAUUGGCAGCCGGCCUACUGGUUUCGGAGCGCAGCACAAGUCGCACUCUCUAUCAGCAAAGGUCUAGCAUCCAUUAAGCCUUUUUUUCAACUUUUGACCUCGGAUCAGGUAGGGAUACCCGCUGAACUUAAGCAUAUCAUA